rfam:Schistosoma margrebowiei strain Zambia genome assembly, scaffold: SMRZ_scaffold0003833
GCACUGCUGAGGAGUCCCAAAAUAAAACGAAACGGCCGUCCAGUGC